AGUGAUUUCUUUAUAAUAAUUUCAAGAAGGAAAGUGCCACGUGUACUCUUCAAAAUAAAGCCAAAAAAAGUGUAUGUCACCGACCUUACAAAAAAGUUAUGAGCAAUUUUCAUGUUUUUUUCUUGUUCGUUUUGAAGAAAAGAGUUGUCUUUCUUCAGAACAUCGCAUCUGACGUCAUAGUACAAACUUCCCUUGCUGGCGCACUUUUUGAAAAAAAAAUCGCAAAUUGGACGUUUGAAACCCACAUUUAAAUUUCCAAGAAUAACAACUCUAUUUACCUACUUAAUUAUCCGGUAAUACAAGAGAUUAAAUGCAUGUGUCAGUAUUAGAUCUUAUGAUGUUGUUGCCGCACAAUAUUUACCUUCAGAAACCCCAUCCGUCGGAAUGGAAAAUUGUUUGAAAUAACCUUUCUCGCCGCUUUUGUUAGGAAAGUCUGUUUUUGUCCUCUGUCCCUCAUUAGCAAAAUUAUUGAAAAUAAAUGAAAGAUGGCACUGGCUAACUACAGAGUAUUUGACUAUAUCAGACUAUAUGUGUGUGUUUUUGUUCGUGUCAAUUUCAGAAGUUUGCCGUAACGAACUCAUUUGCUACUGUUGACAGACGGACACACAAAAGCAUGGACGGACUUCUUUAUACCAUUAUAUUUCCCGACUAAGACGAACGUAUAGAAAUUAUUCCAUCUAGUUUGUGAAGUCAUUAUUUCUGAAUAUUUAAGAUAUA
rnacentral:lncRNA from 1 species